rnacentral:rRNA from 1 species
GGUCUGAGAGGAUGAUCAGUCACACUGGAACUGAGACACGGUCCAGACUCCUACGGGAGGCAGCAGUGGGGAAUAUUGGACAAUGGGCGAAAGCCUGAUCCAGCCAUGCCGCGUGUGUGAAGAAGGUCUUCGGAUUGUAAAGCACUUUAAGUUGGGAGGAAGGGCAGUAAGUUAAUACCUUGCUGUUUGACGUUACCAACAGAAUAAGCACCGGCUAACUUCGUGCCAGCAGCCGCGGUAAUACGAAGGGUGCAAGCGUUAAUCGGAAUUACUGGGCGUACCGCGCGCGUAGGUGGUUCAGCAAGUUGGAUGUGAAAUCCCCGGGCUCAACCUGGGAACUGCAUCCAAAACUAC